GGCUCAAUUCCACCCUCGGGCGACUGUCUGUGUGGAGUUUGCACGUUCUCCCGUGUCUGCGCAGGUUUCCUCCGGGUGCUCCGGUUUCCUCCCGCAGCCACAAAGACACGCAGGUGGACGUAAAAGAUUCUGUGGCUCCAAUUAAAGACAAAGUCGGGUGAAUCUGACAGCCAUGCCAGUAUCACCUCGCUAAACGCACAUUACAUCUUCGUGCUUCCAUUUCCCUUUCUGCGGGAGGUUGCUCGUGAAUACGUUGGCUGCUGCAUUCCGCACAUUACAGUCCGAGACUGCAUUCCAAAGGUGUUCAAACACUGAGCAAAUCUGUGUGCUCUACAAAUCUGGCGGCCAACAAAAACAAUCUGCAAUAGGCUUGCAACAUAGAUGCUGCCAGACCUGUUGGAUUUCUGCAGCGUUCUCUAUUUUUAUAGCACCACCACCUGGCCUAGGGGAGGGCCACCUCAGCUUCAAGUACAGAAAGUGUUGUCAUGGUCACAGUCAGUAAGUGGUACGUUUGACGUAGGGAGUCAUGGAGUUGUACUGCAUGGAAACAGACCCUUUGGUCCAACUCGUCCAUGCCGACCGGAUAUCCCAAAUUAAUCUUGUCCCGUUUGCCACCGUUGGGCCCAUAUCCCUUCAUGUGCCCUUUUAAAAUAAUUGUACCAGCCCUCCACCACUUCCUCUGGCAGCUCAUUCUAUACAUGUAUCACCCUCUGUUUGAAAAUGUUAUGCUUUAGGUCCCUUUUAAUUCUUUCCUCUAUCACCUUAAACCCAUGGCCUCUAGUUCUAGACUCCCCAACCCUGGGGAAAAGACCUUGACUAUUCACCCUAUCCACGCACCUCAUGAUGUUAUAAACCUCUAUAAGGUCACCCCUCGGCCUCUGACGCUCCAGGGAAAAUAGCCCCAGCCUAUUCACCUUCUCCCUAUAGCUCAAACCCUCCAACCCCAUCAACAUCCUUGUAAAUCUUUUCUGCACCCUUUCGAGUUUUAUGACAUCUUUCCUAUAGCAGGGAGACCGGAACUGAAAACAGUAUUCCAAAAGUGGCCAAGCCAAUGCCCUGUACAGCUGCAGCAUGACAUCUCAACUCCCAAUGCACAGACCAGUAAAGACAAACAGACCAAACACCUUCUUCACUACCCUAUCUACAUGCCACUCUACUUUCAAUGAACUAUGAACAUGCACCCCGAGUUCUCUUUGUUCGGCAGCAAUCCCCAGGACCUUGUGUCCAUAAUGUAGUGUCACAAAUCAGCAACACACAGCUAAUGAUUUUGCACCAACACAGUUGUACAACCAAUCAGAGAGGCCAGCUCACCGAAGGUCUGGGGAAACCUCUCAGGUUUAUGAGUAUUCAAUUGGGACAGUGAGUUAGAGAGGCUCAGAGGUGUGAUGACAGAAUUCCAGAGCUUGGGGAUCCUAUGGCAAAUCUGACUCCCUUUUAAAUAACGUAAGACAUAAGGAGUAGGCCAUUCAGCCCAUUUACUCGUCCAUAACAGGGGGAUGAAUAAGAACAUUUCCUACUGCCCUAUCCUCCAACAUCCCCACAGCCCACCAUCAUCUACCAGGAACCCCCAUCCCACCCUCAUUUUACUUCAGGGAGGGAGCGCAGUUACAUGACUAUCCCUGCCAGUUGGGGACAGUAUACCCUCAGGGAUAGGACUCAUGUGGUGUAGCAGUGGUGUCGACUGCUGUCUCCGGGCCAGGGAGUCUGGGUUCAAAUCCCAUCUCCCCCAGACAUGUGUCAAUGUUGAACAGGACAAUUAAAGACAUAUCAACCCUCAGAAAUGCCAGAGAUUGGAAUUGCAAGGGUGCUACCAGUUCUUGUGAUGAACACAGGACCUCCAUCAUUCAAUGCUGGCCAUGGAAGGACAACCACAGACAGCAAUACUAUGAUUACCAACCUUCUCAACGGAUAACACUGGGAGAGUCUUACUGGAUGGAGAAGGGAAUUGGAAUAAAGGAGGAAAGAAAAAUCAAGCUAAACGAAAGAUGAUGGUGUAGUGGGGACAUCACUAAGACUCGCAGUCCAGGAGGCCCAAGCUAUGGCCUGGUUUGAAUCCCACUAUGAUAACUGAUGGGAUGUGACUUCGAUGAAUGUAGUUGGAAUUGACAGCGAGUCUAUUAACCAUGAAACAAUCAUUAAUUUUUUGUUAAUAACUCAGGCUGGUCCCCUAAUAUCCCUCAGCGAAGGAUAUUGGCUGUCCUUACCUGGUUUGGCCUACGUGUGACUCCAGACCCACAGCAAUGUAGCUGACUCUUAAUGGAGCAAUUAUGGAUGAGCAAUGGUAUCUUUCCCAGAAAGCACUCUGUUAACAAAUCUGUCCAUAAGACUUCCCCUGAAUGGAGGGCGAAGGGAAGGUUACAAUUAGCUGUAAGGAUCUCCACAAAACGUGCAAUUGUAUUCUACCGAAAGAAGCCCAUCAGCCCAGCUGAGAGGUGGGGCUUGUCACUGUUUCUGGCAGAUAUUUGCACA